rnacentral:misc_RNA from 1 species
UUAAGCGCGCUCCCCACGGA